ensembl:lncRNA
CAAUGUCUGCUUUUGUGACAGCGACAUUGCCAGUGGUGUAAAAAUCUAUGCAUCUGUCAGGUUUCCCCAUGUGAAACAUAAUUGCUUAAUUUCCAUUUGAAAGUACAUCCCUGACAUUAGAACAACGUAGACGCACCAAGGAUAACAAUGAUUUCCUGACACCUAGAAUGGGGCAUAAUGCGGUAAUAAAUAAGUGUGCAGAAUGAAUGCUCUGCACACAGAGGGAGCAGGUCUGAAUUUACAGCUGCAGAUGAAGUGUUCCUCAGGAAAAAAAAAAUAAAAAAAAAAAGAAAGAAAAAACCAACAGAUUAGCAUCAGUGUGAGUCUAUGUCAACCAGAUGGCUUGCUGUGGAAAAAGAGCUUCCCUGCUUUAUUCCAGUAACCCUGGCUAGCAGGCUGAAUGUCUGAGAUGAGAAGAGAAAAAUGAUCUCAUUCAGGACUUUUUUUUCCCUUUGCAUACAUGCAGCUUGAGCUGAAGAAGAGAAAAGCUCUGAAAAGAGCACAGAAGUUGUCCCUUAGUGGUGGCGUGUGAGACGUGGUGGACCACAGAGAGCUCAUGGACAUGGGUUCAAAAAUGCAGAAAGCACAGCAUGAAAGCAGUGCGUCACAGCCAUUCUCAAUGUACAGCGCAUGAAGAUGGGCACCCACUGCCCGUCUCAAGUCAUCCUCACACUUGCUUCCUCUUGACCACACAGAAGUGAUUUUGAUGAAGAGGAACAUGGACAUCCAGAGCAUAUGUCUAUUCUCUCAAAACAUGCCAACACGAUCCCUUCAGUUUGAAACGGAUGGAUCAAAGCUUUGAAGUCCAUUUGUACUAAUGGAUCCGGAUCCAGCUUGUAGAUACCUGACCUCAUACUACAUGUUUUUUUAUUAAAUAGUCUCUUGGUGAAUGUCAUACUAGCAAACCAAAGUUUGGAGGCUCUUUCCUCAUUGAAAAGGCAGCUGCUGUGUCACAGUGUUAUAUCCCAUCAUCUUUGUAUUAGCAGCCAAAGUGAAAGGCUCUAGACUGUAUUAAAAAAAAAAAAAGUAAUAAAGCUUCAUCUUUUUUCAUUUUGGGACUCAAAGCAAAAGCUCCGAACAUUCUGUUUACCAUUUUUAUUACACAAUAUUGGCAUUCUUAAAGUCUGGAAUGAAACCUUUUUUCGUUUUUUUUUUUUUAUUCAUUAAAGUGCUCAGUAUCAAUGGACUGUUUCUUACUUUCCAUGUAUUACGACAAAACAUUAAGCCGAGGAUAUCUGUUGCCAUUGUUAAAGCACUGCGUUCUUGUGUGACUGGAAAUCCACUCUCUUCAUUGCUCCCUUUUGUACGCCCUCCAUGAAGCCAACUGGCUUCAGCUGUUGACAGAUAACAAGUGAGAACAAGAAGAGGUGUUAAAAAAAACUGCCAGGAAAGUCUCCAAGCAGUGCUCAGUGUGAGCAGACCUCUCUCGUUAGCCACCCCAGGAGAAAGCUCUGGCCAAAGCAACACGCCUCCGUCUCAGAUGCCUGUGCUGUCCUGUGAGACUCCUCGUUCUUCUGGGCUCUGCUGGUCUGUUGAGUCCAGCUCUGUCUGAUAGAACUGCUGCUUUGCUUCUGAUUCCUGUUGUUGCCUGCCGCAUUGUGAGUUCUACACACCACGCAGCAAAAGAAGCAAUGACAAAUCUGAGAGCUGUGGAGUGAAACUGUGCUAGAAUUUGCUAAUGGGAGAUGGAGGAAGACGAGCAUAGUGAAACAUGGCCAGGCCCAGAGAAUGCAUGUGAGGUGGCUUGAAGAAAUGUAUCAGACCAAGGGAAUAAGAAGGUGAAAUCCUGAGAAUUAUGUCCCAGCUGUGACAUGGCAGACCAGAGGUGAUGCUUUAGAAGCACAGGGUGUAUGCAUUCUUAUAUUCCUUUGCCCUCUUUGUAUCUGAACUGACCCAUCUGCUUCCACUCCCCCAGGAAGCCAACAGCAGUUUCAAAACAUCCCUAGGAGAUUCCAGGAGUGUAGAACAAAGGACAUACUCAAAAACUCAGUGAAGGUCACUUGUGAUUUUGAAGCAAGACUGCUGUAGGUAAAUGGCUCUUGGAGAGGCAGGUAAUUCGGCAUCAGCAGGACUGGUUGCCCAUGCAGCUUGGGAGCUGAUGGCUUGUUCUAUGCAAAGUAAAUGAGCCUCAUACUAAUUUGUCAUCAGCCCAUAAAAAUGUGAACUCUACUGUGACCAAACCAGAUUAGUGCUGUACUCAAUGGCAGCAGUGCUCAGAGCAAAUAAGGCCAAAUCAGGUCAUAAAACCCUUUAACUUGUUUUAAAGUGUCCCUCGUAGUGCAUUGGAUGAAAUCUGGCUUUCAACAUGGUUUUGCUACUGUCACAACCCAGCAGAGAUGCCCUUUAGCUACAGUUGGAUUUAACGCUGACAUCAAUCUCUGUUGACAGAUCCCAUUGCUGCUGUGUGGGUCCAUCAGGCUCAGCAUAGCUUUUCACUGGCAUCAGCAAUCAUGAGAUUUGCCCCAGGAAUGUCCAGGAACCAGCUGCACACCCAAGUCAACAAAGCCACUGCUUCUGCCAGCGCUAAACAGAGGUACAGGAAGGUGUAAAUCCUGAGCCUAAGUGUUCAAAGGGGUUGCCUCAACUACUCCACAAACCUAUAGGCAUCCACAGAAAAAUCACCUUUGUGUGCCUGAGCAACUUGUCUACACCAUCUCUGUAUGUUGCUUUCCUCUCCUGUCAGUUCUGCCAGUUAUAUUGAGUGUAAAAGCCUGGUUCCAGUUAUCUGUCCCACAUUUAGCAACCAUGCUCUCAUUGCUCUUGAGCUGCAGCAGAGAGGACGGGACCAAGUUGGUCGAAGAAUCUCUAGCUCCUCUGUAGCUCAGCACUCUCUAGGUAAAAUACUGAACAAAAAAAGAAGGGGAGCCUGCCAGUGAAGAAGUCCAAACAGAGAAGGCAGUGGAUAUUCUACUCUUUCCAAGUCAUUACUUCACUCAGCACAGCCUGUUAUUUGGAGAGCCCAUGGAAAGCUGUCCAGGCAGGGAAGCAUGCUGUUGCUGAGAGGUCUGCCUCUAUCCGUCAGUAAUGGGUGCUUGUGUGAGCAGAGCAUUUGCAAGGAAUUUUACAAGGUGAGUGGUAGGGGAAUCUGAAUUUUGGGUGGUGGAUGGAAAUACUAAGUAAUGUGAGAAUAAUUCUGUUCAUGUGACCUAUGUCUGUGGGUGGCAGCAUUUGCACCUCCAUUACGGCUUCCCUUGACGUGUUAGAUGUGCUCAGUUGUGCCCCUGGAGCACCAACACGCUGAUUUGUGUGUUGAACUGACUGAUCAUAUGAACACCCCUCAGUGAAACCUUCAAAAUAGCCUGUUUUAGGUAAUAUAAAAAUAUCCUUUGUCGAAUGACUGCUUUAGGCAGAAGUGAUGGGAAAGAAUACAUUCAAGUUGGUUUGUUCUAUUUGAUACUUCUUUUUUCCUACCUAAAAGCUGUUGGGAAGAGUGUGACUCUCCAUCAGUGGAGCUCUGUUGGCAGUUUCAAUAGAUGUAAGUUGUAAAACGAGCUGCACUUUGGCAUUUUAUCACCAACAGCCCAAACCAGCAGCAGUCCAGGAUGGAUCCCAGCUCUGAAUCAUAAGCAUGAAUCGAAAAGAAAACAUGAUACAUCACUUAGCUUCUCACUGUUGCUACCUGCAAUAUUAGCAGUGCUUCCUGAACCACUAUGCCAUAUAAAACCUUGAACAGGAUCUUCCCACACCCCAUUCCACGGCACUCAUGCACUUUCUUGCAGAAAUAAGGACUAAGCUGAAAGGGAGUGCAUUGUUUGUAAGGAGAAGAAGAGGAUGAAGAUGUGUAGCAGUAUGGCUACUUUCCCUCUUGUGACCUCCCAUCUUAUGAUCCUCACUCUGGUGAUGGUAAUUUACAGGAGAGAAGAGUACACCCCCUUGUAUCACAGCAAGCAUCACUUUGGACAUCUCUGCACUAGGUUUUCUCUUCUCAUUGCACAGCAUUUUGAAGUCAAUUCUCCACAUGUACAAUUAGUGCUAGGCCUUUAUACUUGGUCAGCAAAGAGUUACAAAAUUAAAUAUUUUCAACAAACCAGCUAAUGUAUGCCCUUGUGUAAGCAGCUCUUGCAAGAGAAGAACAAGUUCAAAAUAAAUCAUUACAUCAAUUACUUUGUGUCUGUGCACAAGUUACUAAUUAUCUCUGAAUAUAAACACCAAUAAAGAUAGAGACUAUUUCUAAGUAUUUACUCUGUAAAUUGUCAGUGACCUGACUACUUGGCUACUACAUUAAAUGAUUGUUUCUCUGUGUUAAUGUAUUCCAGGCUGCAAAGUCCUGCCUGCUCUAAAAUUAAAGAUCUGAAUUCAGCAGAGCAAAUGGAUAUUACCUUGACUUGAAAGUGUUGAAAUUUCUGGAACUUGAGGUCUUGCUUGUAGUAUCUACUGAUGGAUGACAUCUAUUUCAAAGCAAAAAUUCACUCAUCCCUACCUGAAUGGGCUCCUCGGUCACGGGGAUCAUGACCUCUUAGGAGGUAAGUCCCACACCAAGUCCAACUGGCUAAUCUUGGUGCAUGGUUAGCAAUGGGGACGGUGACUCAAUAUUUACAUCCUGUUUCUCCAACUUGAUGGAAAGAAAUUCUAACAAAAAAAUAAAAUAAUAAAAUAAAAUAAAAUAAAAUAAAAUAAAAUAAAAUAAAAUAAAAUAAAAUAAAAUAAAAUACUUGAUCCCUUUGACCCAUUGAGGUCAAUGGAAAAACUCCCAUAGAUGUGAUAUGGACUCAGAUAAAGACUUAGUCUCCAUUUCCAUUGAUGGUAUGGAUGUUCAGCCACUGAAAUGAUAAAAAGAGACACAUAUGCUGAAUUAGAAAAAUUCUCAUUUCACAAAUUGCUCAGAUACAAAUUUUUAGUUUGUUAUUUUCUACAUGAACAAAUGAAAGAUAAAUGGAAAUGAUCUCUAAAUUCUUGUCUCAGUACACUGAAGAGAGAGCAAGAACAUCAGGUUGCUAGAACUGAUGGCUGAAGGAACUCUGUUCAUCCCAAAUUUUCAGCCAGUUAUUUCAUUUCAUUUGAUCACCAUCCAUUUAGUUUUGUUAAAUGGAAGAAAACUCAUUGUUUAAUAUUAAUAUUAAUAAUAAAUAUUAUGGACAUUGACCAAUCAAUCAAACUUGGAUGGGCUCAGAGCAAGUAUUUGUGAACUGUGAGCAAAGAUUUCUAUGUCAUGCAGUGGAGGUGUACGUUCAUGGACUGGGAAUUUAGGCUUCUGCUAACAAGAUACCUCCAAUCCUUUUCUGCUCAGUGAUUCUUCCUGCUCAUGGAAAGUAGCGUGCUGUAGUGGGAUGGGGAGAGAGAGGAGAUAGUGCCCUGCAGAACUGGACCCGGUGAGGAUGUGGAUCAAGACUCAGGAAUUAAGGAGUAUUCUUGUACUGCCACUUUAGCUGUAAUCAGAGAAUCUCUUUGAAAUCCUACUUUAAGUGAAAAAUUAAAGGUGUACAUUUGUGGAAGUAACUCCAAAUUCAAGGUUCUAAAGUAAAGAAAUGCAAAGUGGGCAGCAAAAUACAUGUGCCAGACACCUCAGACUGGAGUGACUAAAAAACACUUUCUAGCAAGUGCUGGGUGGGACUUUGCUGAUUUAGUGGGCUCCAGAUUGGAAACAAAGAAAUACCUACACCACAAAUGCCUUCCUUGUUGUGAAGGCUUCUUCAUAUCUAUUUCUCCUGUCCGUACAACAGUUGCAGCACUUAUUCAGUGGAACAGAAACAAAGACACUUAGAAGGUUUUCCAGACAUUUAAUCAACCAUCAUCUUCAUGGAAAGAUAGACAAGGUGUAAUUCCGAAUAAAUUCUUAGGAACAUGGACAGAGCUAAGAUCACUGUAAGGUUGCAUUAAUGAAAGGAUGUUUGAAUAUGGUCAUUGGCAGUGCACCUUUACUGACACUUCAUUCAGCACUAAAACUCCCACUGGGAGCAGCUAUGACAAAUAGACAUACAUGCAUACCACAGAUUAUACUGGGAAUCUUGGGUGCUCCUUUGAAUGGAGAGUGCCAAAAGGCAAAAGACCUCCAGAAGAGCUGACAUUCCGUAUUACACAUUUUUUUUCCAUAAAUCAUAUAUUCGCAAAGGCUCUUCUUCAGGUUGUUUUUGUUUCUUUUGUUUUUGUUUUUGUUUUAUCCUCUCCAUACUUUCAGUCCACAAAGAAAGAAGUAAAAAGAUAAUCCUGAACUCCAGUAUGGACUGCUUUGUUCAUGGUUCAGAUGAAUUCUCCUGCUUUAAGAACAAAAAUUUGAUGAAUUUCCUUAUACUGAAAAUGGUGAUGGUAACUGUUAGAUCAGUAAUGGCAAAAUGUUUAUCUAAACAAGUCCUAUAUUUCUGAUAUAAAAUGCCUCAGUGUGUGUCUGCAGAUUUAUAGAAGGGGGAGAAAGGGAAAGAUUGAGUCCAUGGUGAGAGAGGAAAAGAAAAUAAGGACCCUCUGCAUGAUGUUUGCAGUAAAUUUCUCAGGCAGCUGAUGUUUAUACCAGCACUGUUCCCAUCAGAUUAAGGCACGUAAUGUAGGGACAUAAUCACCCUUAACUUCCCCUCGUAAUCAAGGGGUAAAAGCAGUCACACUGAUAUCCUGUGAUGUGUGCUCUGAAUUCUGAAGCUCUAAACAGAGUAUUCUGUAGAAUUUCCUUACGCCACUAACUAUAGAGGAUUCUAUGGUUGACCAAUUUCACUAUAGACUGAGGCAAUUAUUUGUGCCAGAUGGGAAGCCAGCCCAUAGAUGUAUUGCUCUGCAACAGAGGCUUGUCUCCAUGUUCAAACUAAAAUGUUGCCUUACUGCUCCAUCAAGCACAGCAUGGAAUGGAAAUACACAGCAAAAUCUUCUGUCUUCAGCCCUAAGCUUUUCUGAAUGAUAAAGAUGAUAAAGAGCCUGGAGCAUCUCCCGUAUGAGGAAAGGCUGAGUAACAUGGGUCUGUUUAACCUAGGGAAAAGAAGACUUAGAAGGGAUCUGAUUAAUGUUUAUAAAUAUCUAAAGGGAGGUGGGAAGCAAAUGAAUGAGGCCAGGCUCUUCUUAGUGGUGCGUAGUGAUAGGACAAGGAGUAAUGGCCUAAAACCUGAGCAUAGGAAGUUCUGUACUAACAUGUGGAAGAACUUCUUUACAGUAAGAGUGAUAGAGCACUGGAUCAGGCUGCCCAGAGAAGUUGUGGAGUCUCUUUCUCCAGGGAUAUUCAGGGAUAUUCAAGAACUAUUUCAACGCCCACCUGUGUGACCUGUUGUAGGGAACCUGCUUUAGCAGGGGUUGGACUCUUGAGGUCUCUUCCAAUUCCUGCAAUUCUGUGAUUCUGUGGGUAGAGAUUAAAAAUAAGAUAUAACAUUAUGUAAGAGAACACAGGAUAGAACAAACUUUAGUAUCAAGGAGAGGAUUUUGAAAGACAUAAGUCAUGCUGAAACAAAAGUGCUGCUGAAGGUGUUGUGUGUCUUUCUGCUCUUUAUAACUCCAGAAAUGUUCUUUCUCUAUAGCAAAUCCCAACUAAUUGGUCAAUUGAUCAAAAUAUAUUUCUUUUUUCACAAAAAUGUCUUAACAAAACCAAUUUGUAGAAACUCGUCAAACAUUUAUAUGGGGUGAUGCUUAUGAGAAAGUGAAAAAUAUUUAUGUUUUCAGAUUUUCAAGGAAAUCUGAACUAUUUCCAUGAACUUUCAUUUCACUUUGCCUGCAGAAGUGUUUUUUAUUACGCUUUUCAUCAAAUGAAUGAACUGAAAAUGUGAUUAGCUAAUUUAUUCUGGUAAAGAAAUAAUCAUACAGCAAUGCAGCAUUUUGAAAUAUUUCUAUGAAGCAGAUGGAAUGUGUUUGGUUUUUUUCCAGCUCUUAUGAUGUUGUGCAAAUACGUUGUCCCUUUCUUGUUGACUGCAACCUUAUUAAAGUAAAUGCAAUAGGUGAUGUGGCAAGGAUGAGCCAUAAAAACGUGCCAGAGAGGAUGAAAUCUGCAUGCCUGAAGCCAGGUACAGUCACGUGCAAAUUAGCAUUGUCCACAUUAACCUUAAUUUCCCAAAAUAAAACAGAAGAAGGCCUUAGUUACAAUACUGUUACUGCUCUCCGUUGCCAAAUUUCUGCCCACAGUGUAGUUUUAUGGAGAAUUCUGUGAGUUCAGAAAAUAAGUUUUGUGGAAAAGCUGCCAAAAAGAGAGCCUGCCCAUACUAGUAUAAACAUUGUUCUUACUGCUAUACAAAACUGCUUUGUAUAGUGCUGGAGGCUACCUCGGUGAUUUCUGAGAUGGCACUGUCUUCAUUACAAAUGCUCUGAAGGCAGUAGUUGUAGUUUGUGUGGCUCAGUAGAAAUAGCAGUAACCUACAGCCUACUGAAAUUCUGUGGCUGACCAAGAGUGCAGUUAUUCUUUAAUUGACAGUGGAAGAGUUCAAAGGGAAACCAGAAGCAGUCUCAAAAAAGCAACGAAAUGCGGCACAUCUGGGAGUGUGUAUAAAUCCACACUGUGUAUGAAGCCAUGAUCCUCAAAACUAAGGUCUUGUCUUUAGCCAGUGUACACACACACACACAGUGUAUGUAUAAGCACUAGUGGUGGCAACAGACAACCAUCAGCAGCUCAGACCCAAUAUCUGAAUUGUUGUUCUGUUAUUAAGCUACUCUUAUAAAGAAAGAACUGUUUCAUCCUCCUCCUCCUCACCCUUCACGAUAUCAGCAUCCCAUCUGACACCAUCAAGGGUGUAAUUUCCUUCACUUCAGACACUUUGAAAAUUUAACUGAGAAUAAAUGUUAUCUCUUUCACUGGUUGUAUAAGCAACCACAGCAAUUAUAUAACUGCC